rnacentral:rRNA from 1 species
UAUACCAAAAGGUUUAAAGAUUGCGAACAGCAAAAUAGCAGUUUAAAAACUUUUUCAAAAUGAAGUAUAGGAACAUUAGAAACAUUAUUUUUAAUCUUGUCUGGUAAGAUGGAAGCAUUAAGUGUAAGCUUUAGAAAAAAGUACCUUUAGUAUAAUGGCCUUUCAAGAGAUUUUGCUUUACAAAGCACCUCCCGAAAUAAAAAGAUUUUUAGGAAAGCAAAAUAAAAGAGGUAUUCGAUGUAUGAAUUCUUGAAUAAACUUUGCUAAGGAUGUGAUAUGCAAUUUCGAGUUUUAGGAUAGCUGGUUGUUCGAAAAAUGCUUUUAAGUGCAGCUUUGACAUCGGGUAUAGUGCAUAUUCAAUAAAUGGCCCGCUAAAUCAGUAUGUCAAAAGUGAAAAAUCUAGCUAAAGGUUGGAUUUAGAAUGUCUUCUAAAUUACUAAAUUUUUAGGGAGAGAAAUUGGGUUUAUGCUGCCCACUUUGUUAUGAGUAUUUAACAACUUGUCUUUCUAAUAGUAAAAGAAUAAUUUUAAAAAAAUGAGGCUAAGUAAAUCGUUCACCUAUCUAAGAUAUUCUUUGGUUGAUUAUUAUGCUGGGAUUAGUAAUAACAUG